UAACUGAGUCUUUGGUACCGUGCCUCUGG
rnacentral:piRNA from 1 species